UACAGAGGUCUCAAGCGUUGUUCGGAUUUAUUGGGCGUAAAGGGUGCGUAGGCGGCGCGGUAAGUCGGGUGUGAAAUCUCGGAGCUUAACUCCGAAACUGCAUUCGAUACUGCCGUGCUUGAGGACUGGAGAGGAGACUGGAAUUCAUGGUGUAGCGGUGAAAUGCGUAGAGAUCAUGAGGAAGACCAGUGGCGAAGGCGGGUCUCUGGACAGUGCCUGACACUGAGACACGAAGGCUAGGGGAGCAAACAGG
rnacentral:rRNA from 1 species